ACUGAUUAUUUUGUGACUGAGUGGCGGACGGGUGAGUAACGCGUGGGUAACCUGCCUUGUACAGGGGGAUAACAGUUGGAAACGGCUGCUAAUACCGCAUGACACAUAGGUGUCGCAUGGCACUUAUGUCAAAGAUUUAUCGCUGAAAGAUGGCCUCGCGUCUGAUUAGCUAGUUGGUGAGGUAACGGCCCACCAAGGCGACGAUCAGUAGCCGGACUGAGAGGUUGAACGGCCACAUUGGGACUGAGACACGGCCCAGACUCC
rnacentral:rRNA from 1 species